ensembl:lncRNA
UCCUUAAGGUUUGCAGCUGUUGGAAAUGGAGGAGAUUUUGGAUAUUCGGUUUUGCCUUUCACACCGUGCUUCUACGAGAUGACUAAAGCAUCCAUCGGUGAAUGUAAUUCUGACAUAAAGAUCAACUCUUCUCCUGAGAUGUGGCCGCCGUCUCAAGAGGCUGAACAAUCUUCGUCAUCAUUGCCAAGAUCAGAAAGCUUUUCUCCACUUCAGACGAGGCUUCAGAGAUCACAGCACCUGUCGACUGCCUCAGAAUCCUUUCUGUCAAAUUCACGAACAGGAGGCCAGAAAGUGGAACUCAGUGACUCUCCAAAACCAAGCCCACAGACAAGAUCUUCUGCAGCACAACAGGACAAAUCCUCAGAGCUUCUGCCAACAUCAUCUCCUUCACUCCCAAAAACCAAAUUAAAUCAAACUCUCCCAGGCUUUGAGGACCAUAUUUCCACUGGCAGCCUCUCUCCUGGUGGAAUACCAUCUGUUCGGUCUUCUCGAUGUCAUUCUCCUGCUUUUCUCAUCUCUAAACAAAGUCCAAAACCUCCAGAUUCUCCGUCCCCAAGGUCUAGAUCAGUUUCUUCUCCAGUAAACCCAGUCCAAUCCAGACCUGCUCAUUCAACACCUGUUUCUGAACCGAAAUUAGCUCAGCUGUCUCCAGAACGUGCCAUCACUUCCCCAAGCGCUGCAGUUCCUUCAUUAAAGCUGUCACUUAGAGAAUCAUCACAGUCUGGAUUCGUCUCAGAUAGAAGUAUAUCUACUAUGCCUAUCUAUGACUCCUUCAGUUCCUCUAUGCCAAGGGUCGAAUCUUCUCAUACUGAGGGUCAUCGUUCACCUCCGGCCUCUAAAUGGUUAAAAGGCUCACGGAGGUCGCCCAAAACCACAAUGUUCUCUUUACAGCUAAACAUGUCAGAUUCAGAAGAGGAAAUGACAGGUGAAGAUGCUUGCCUGGUGCCCAGUGAAGAAGACUCAUCUGAUGAAGAACUGAGACGAAUCACAGAUGCAGAAGAACAAAAGAAUGGCUUUCCCUCUCCGUGCCCCACCACGACCCCUCCGGCAGAGCCUCAUUUCACUUUCACAAACCUCUCAAAGUCAGAAAACGACAACACAGAACCAGACCUUUUUACAGGAUCUUCUAAGGCCAUUCAUUCUGUAGCCCAGCGACAGGACAUCCAGCCGGGGCAGUACCAAGACCUAGAGGGGAUCCUGACUUUGGGACUGGACCCUGGAGUCCUGCAGCCCAGCCCAGCUCCAGUGCAAAACUCUAGAGAAGAGCAGAACCACACAGGGAGUUCACUAGGUAUGUAGAGAAGCAAAAUAAAG